AGGAGGGGGGAGUCUGUAGUCUGGGAGAAGAAAGUAGGAAACAAGCAAUAGGAGGAGAUGGCAGCAAGGAAAUGGGAGCGGUUUAUAAACGGAAGGAGUAAGCAACAACUGUUGGGAAGGGACCUUGGACCUUCAUGACAACUCCAAUGAAUCUCCAGAUUUAACAGCUACAGCAUC
rnacentral:lncRNA from 1 species